rnacentral:rRNA from 1 species
CAGUCGCCGCGGGAAUACGUAGGUGGCAAGCGUUGUCCGGAAUUAUUGGGCGUAAAGGGCUCGCAGGCGGUUUCUUAAGUCUGAUGUGAAAGCCCCCGGCUCAACCGGGGAGGGUCAUUGGAAACUGGGAAACUUGAGUGCAGAAGAGGAGAGUGGAAUUCCACGUGUAGCGGUGAAAUGCGUAGAGAUGUGGGGGAACACCAGUGGCGAAGGCGACUCUCUGGUCUGUAACUGACGCUGAGGAGCGAAAGCGUGGGGAGCGAACAGGAUUAGAUACCCCGGUAGUCCCUGUCUCUUAUAC